GACGAACGUUGGCGGCGUGCUUAACACAUGCAAGUCGAACGGAAAGGCCCUGCUUUUGUGGGGUGCUCGAGUGGCGAACGGGUGAGUAACACGUGAGUAACCUGCCCUUGACUUUGGGAUAACUUCAGGAAACUGGGGCUAAUACCGGAUAGGAGCUCCUGCUGCAUGGUGGGGGUUGGAAAGUUUCGGCGGUUGGGGAUGGACUCGCGGCUUAUCAGCUUGUUGGUGGGGUAGUGGCUUACCAAGGCUUUGACGGGUAGCCGGCCUGAGAGGGUGACCGGCCACAUUGGGACUGAGAUACGGCCCAGACUCCUACGGGAGGCAGCAGUGGGGAAUAUUGCACAAUGGGCGGAAGCCUGAUGCAGCAACGCCGCGUGCGGGAUGACGGCCUUCGGGUUGUAAACCGCUUUCGCCUGUGACGAAGCGUGAGUGACGGUAAUGGGUAAAGAAGCACCGGCUAACUACGUGCCAGCAGCCGCGGUGAUACGUAGGGUGCGAGCGUUGUCCGGAUUUAUUGGGCGUAAAGGGCUCGUAGGUGGUUGAUCGCGUCGGAAGUGUAAUCUUGGGGCUUAACCCCUGAGCGUGCUUUCGAUACGGGUUGACUUGAGGAAGGUAGGGGAGAAUGGAAUUCCUGGUGGAGCGGUGGAAUGCGCAGAUAUCAGGAGGAACACCAGUGGCGAAGGCGGUUCUCUGGGCCUUUCCUGACGCUGAGGAGCGAAAGCGUGGGGAGCGAACAGGCUUAGAUACCCUGGUAGUCCACGCUGUAAACGGUGGGUACUAGGUGUGGGGUCCAUUCCACGGGUUCCGUGCCGUAGCUAACGCUUUAAGUACCCCGCCUGGGGAGUACGGCCGCAAGGCUAAAACUCAAAGGAAUUGACGGGGCCCCGCACAAGCGGCGGAGCAUGCGGAUUAAUUCGAUGCAACGCGUAGAACCUUACCUGGGUUUGACAUGGAUCGGGAGUGCUCAGAGAUGGGUGUGCCUCUUUUGGGGUCGGUUCACAGGUGGUGCAUGCCUGUCGUCAGCUCGUGUCGUGAGAUGUUGGGUUAAGUCCCGCAACGAGCGCAACCCUUGUUCACUGUUGCCAGCACGUUAUGGUGGGGACUCAGUGGAGACCGCCGGGGUCAACUCGGAGGAAGGUGGGGAUGACGUCAAGUCCUCAUGCCCCUUAUGUCCAGGGCUUCACGCAUGCUACAAUGGCUGGUACAGAGAGUGGCGAGCCUGUGAGGGUGAGCGAAUCUCGGAAAGCCGGUCUCAGUUCGGAUUGGGGUCUGCAACUCGACCUCAUGAAGUCGGAGUCGCUAGUAAUCGCAGAUCAGCAACGCUGCGGUGAAUACGUUCCCGGGGCU
rnacentral:rRNA from 1 species